AUGGAACCCUAUGUUGACAUGAGGUUUGGCAGCCUUCAAAUUGCUAAGGGUCACUACAACAGCUAUGCCCUACGGAUGGGUUUCUCUGUCAAAAUGAACACCUCUAGGCGGACAGGUCACACAAAUGUAUUGGUAAAACAGCAGUUUUGCUGCAACAAGUACAAGAAGCCAAAAGCUGAUGAUGGAGGAGCUGAGGCUCGUCCUGUCCUGGACCCUAUACCAGAUCCAAAACCUGUUGACACUGGUGAGGAAAUGGAAGAUGAACCUCCAAUCUUUGCUGAAGAGGAGGCUGCGACUAGUAAAAAAACAAGAAACGGAAACGCGAGACAAUAA
rnacentral:rRNA from 1 species